UGAUCCUGCCGGAGGUCACUGCUAUCAGUNNUCGACUAAGCCAUGCAAGUCAAAUGUUCUUCGUGAACAUGGCGGACUGCUCAGUAACACGUGGAUAACCUGCCCUUAGGAUUGGCAUAACACCGGGAAACUGGUGGUAAUACCGAAUAGACCAUUUAUGCUGGAAUGCUUUUUGGUUCAAAGGCUUCGGCUGCCUAAGGAUGGAUCUGCGGCCUAUCAGGUAGUAGUGGGUGUAAUGUACCUACUAGCCUACGACGGGUACGGGUUGUGAGAGCAAGAGCCCGGAGAUGGAUACUGAGACAUGAAUCCAGGCCCUACGGGGCGCAGCAGGCGCGAAAACUUUACAAUGCGGGAAACCGCGAUAAGGGGACACUGAGUGCCAGCAUAUUAUGUUGGCUGUCCACAUGUAUAAAAACCAUGUGUUAGCAAGGGCCGGGCAAGACCGGUGCCAGCCGCCGCGGUAACACCGGCGGCCCGAGUGGUGAUCACUUUUAUUGGGUCUAAAGGGUCCGUAGCCGGUUUGAUCAGUCUUCUGGGAAAUCUGACAGCUCAACUGUUAGGCUUUCAGGGGAUACUGUUAAACUUGGGACCGGGAGAGGUAAGAGGUACUACAGGGGUAGGAGUGAAAUCUUGUAAUCCCUGUGGGACCACCAGUGGCGAAGGCGUCUUACCAGAACGGGUCCGACGGUGAGGGACGAAAGCUGGGGGCACGAACCGGAUUAGAUACCCGGGUAGUCCCAGCCGUAAACGAUGUUCGCUAGGUGUCAGGGACGGUGCGACCGUUUCUGGUGCCGUAGGGAAGCCGUGAAGCGAACCACCUGGGAAGUACGGCCGCAAGGCUGAAACUUAAAGGAAUUGGCGGG
rnacentral:rRNA from 1 species